AAAGUUAAUAAAGAUUAAUUUUCUACAGUUUGUUGACUGCACACUAUUUGUGUAUGAAGCUAAUAAAGAAAAUCUAAUAACCAUAGAGACUAUCUUAAGAUGCUUUGAGCUAACAUCAAGAUUAAGGAUAAAAUUUAAAGGGAUAAGAAUUGGAAAGGGCAUGAUAGAAAAUUAAGAAUAAAUUGUCUAAAUGGAAAGGAAGACA
rnacentral:lncRNA from 1 species